rnacentral:lncRNA from 1 species
AAAAAGCGAAAUUAAUUAACUAAUUAAUUAAUAAAGUAAAGAUAGUGGUCAGUCCUCUCUGAGGGGGUUUUCAUACUGAGACCCAAGAAGCAGCAAAGACCUGGGGACAGCAUGAAGGCAGCAAGAGCCCAGACCUGUAAUCUCAACAGAGGCUCAAUUCGCAUAUGUCUAGCACUAUAUUAUAUCCUGCAGACUAUACAGAAUGUCAAAAAAAAGAGAGAGAGAGGUGGGGGAGGUUAGAUGCUCCAAGAAGCCGUAUCUCAGUUUAUUAUUAGAAAGACAUUCGUGUAAGAGUUGUUCACAGGUGGAAUGGAUUAAAGCACAUGAUGGUGAGCUUUUCUGCCACUGGAACUAUUCAAGCACAAGCUGAUGACAGCCUGUUAUGAAUGUUCUAAUGUCCUUUCAGCGGGACAAAGCUGCUUUUUUUUUUGUCUUUGUAAGGGCUGCACCCAUGGCAUAUGGUGGUGCCCAGGCUAGGUCGGGAUCGAAUCAGAACUGUUGCCCCUGGCCUAUUUCAUAGCCACAGCAACCCCAGAUCUGAGCUGUGUCUGCAACCUACACCCCAGCUCACGGCAACGCCGGAUCCUUAGCCCACUGAGCAGGGAUCCAACCUGCAUCCUCAUGGAUACUAGUCAGAUUCGUUUCUGCUGAGCCACAACAGGAACGCCGGAUGAAGCUGGGAUGUGCUAGAAGGCCUAUAGGAGCUCUGAGAAAUGAGGGGUUAAUAUCCCCUAAAGUGCCCUUUGAGGUCCCUCCCACCAUUGAUGAGUCCCUUCUUUUAGUCUCAUCCUUGUGCCUCGGAUUAUUGCCUAGGAUGGUCCCUCUUUCUAAACAGGCGAAUAACAGCUAACCUACACUGAGUGUUGACUGUGUGCCAGGGACCAGCUUAAGCCCAUCACAUAUAUUCCAGUAAUGCUCACAGCUACCUUACCAGGUCGAUGAUACUAUUAUCCUUCUGUUAACAGAUAAGCAAGCUGAGAUGCAGAGUCAAGGAGUUUGCCCAAGGUCACACAGCUCUAAGUGGCUGUCUGUGGCACAAAGUUUGGGGUUAGUCCUCAGUUUUUGUGCAUGCCCCCUCCAUGCUCAGACUGUCUUCUUGCCUCUUCUCCAUCAGUUUCAUAUCCUUCCUUCCAAUCCUGGGUCAAAAUUCAUACCACUAAGGAAUCCAUCUUAAGUGUCCACCCUCUUUCUGGCUCUACUCCACGAUGCCUCAACCUGUAGAUACUUUGGAAGCAGUAAAGCAUCAUCCUUGUGUAGUCAGACCACAUUCAGAUACCCAGCCCAGCAGCUAUAUCAACCUUGGGCAAGUUCCUUAAUAAGACAAUUCCCAUGAUUAUUUUUAUUGGCUCACAUCUUUAUGGUUUGUUUCUUGAGGGGUUUGUUUGUUUGUUUGCUUGCUUGUUUUUUGGCUAUGCCCACAGCAUGUGGAAGUUCCAGGGCUAGGGAUUAAACCUGCAGCACAGCAGUGACAAUGCCAGAUCCUUAAAUCACUGCCACCAGGGAACUCAUUCGCAUCUUUAAAACUUUGUGUAUCCAGGAGUUCCUGUCGUGGCUCAGUAGAAACCAAUCUGACUAGCAUCCACGAGGACGCAAUUUUGAUCCCUGACCUUGCUCAGUGAGUUAAAGAUUCGGCAUUGCCAUGAGCUGUGGUGUAGGUUGCAGAUGUGGCUUGGAUCCCACAUUGCUGUGGCUCUGGUAUAGGCUGGCAGCUGCAGCUCCAAUUCAACCCCCUAGCCUGGGAACCCCAAUAUGCUGCAGGCACAAGCCAUAAAAAGAAAAAAACAAAACAAAACAAAAAAAACCCCACAACUUUGGGUAUCCAACACUUAUUGCCUGCCUUUUUUUUUUAAUGGCCACACCCAUGGUAUAUGGAAGUUUCUAGGUCAGGGAUUGAAUCCAAGCCAAAGCUGUGACCUACACAACAGUUGCAGCAAUACCAGAUCCUUUAACCCACAGUGCCAGGCCAGAGAUAGAACCGGCACCUCUGCAGCAACCAGAGCCACUGCAAUCAGAUUCUUAACCCACUGUGCCCCAGCAGAACUCCCAUUACAUGCCUCUUAUGUUCUUGGCACUAGAAAUAUAAAAAUGAGGUAGACACAACCCCUGUCUUUGAGUCUGGACCUAGCCUAGCAGCUUGUGGGACACCUGGGCUCUUGUGGCUGUCACUGAAGGAGGUCCAGUCUCUUUGCCCUCUUCAGUUUCUGGAGGCAGGAAUCUUUAAGUAAUUUGGGGCAGGGGGCAGAAGGCACAGUCCCAACCCACCUUAUAGGGGAUGACCAGGAACCUCCCAGUGGAUCAAGAAUAUAUCCAGACAAUGGAGUUCCCGUCAUGGCUCAGCAGAAACAAAUCUGACUAGCAUCCAUGAGGACACAGGUUCAAUCCCUGGCCUCACUCAGUGGGUUAAGGAUGCGGCGUUGCCAGGAGCUGUGGUGUAGGUCGCAGACGUGGCUCAGAUCUUGCGUUGCUGUAACUGUGGCAACGAUUAGACCCCUAGCCUGGGAACCUCCAUAUGCCACGGGUACAGCCCUAAAGAAAAGACAAAAAAAGAAUAUAUCCAGACUAUAUAUUAAUUUUUGUAUUAGAGCAUUUGAGACAUAAGUGCCGGAGUGAAAAUAAACUCUGAUAAGUUGACCCCUCCCCCAGCCCCCCAGCAGGAAGUGUGGUUUGACUCAGAUGGUUUCUAAGACAGAGGUAGGAACCCUCAUUCCUUUCCAGACUCAGCUAAUAGCAUGAUUUUUCUAGGGGACACUGACCUAAAAGGGGUCCUCUUGAGAUAAUGUCCCCCAGCUAUAAGGUGCUCCCCUUUCUAGGGCAGAGAUAAUUCUAAAGCAACUGUAGCGCGGAUGGGUUGACAUAGUGCUAAGGUUUUCCCUGGAUGGCUGGGUGGGUUUGGGCAGAGCCAUCCUUAGCUAGCCUCCUGGUCCAUUCCUACAUGGCUCCAUGUGAUCUGAUCCUUAGGGUCUGGUCUACAUCCUGCCAGGGACUAGGACUUUUGCUGAGUUCAACUCUAGUCAUUUUAGACCAGCUUUUCUAGAAGCUUCCUCAGGUUCCUUCAUGAGGCACAGAGAGAAACCUUGAAUACCAGCCCCCCAACUCCUGACUUUUUGUCUGUUGAGCUCAUCUUCCUGGCUCCACUGCUAUUGGUUACAAACAGGAAGCAAGGAUGCCCAGAGAGAAGAAAGUGUAUGACCCUGUCACCACCUGUCUGAGGCUCCCAGGCUGAAGUGAGGUCAUCCUUAUCCAUCCACCAGCCUGGAGAUGGUUGACAUCACCAUGCUGUCUCUUCUACCUUUGCACCCAGCCCACGGAUCACAACCCAUGGGGGAGGAUGCAAUUUGCUGAUUUCCCUACCCCGCACCUGGCUCGUGGCUGUGAGGCAAGCCCCCCAGAUAUUUAACCUAAAUCCACCACGCUGUAGAUUUCCAGGAAGACCCAGCUCUCCUAUCUCCUACAACCCGUCAGCUGAAAUUGAGGUACUAAGACUGAAAAACUAGUCUCAGAGUUCCCGUCAUGGCACAGUGGUUAACGAAUCCGACUAGGAACCGUGAGGUUGUGGGUUCAGUCCCUGGCCUUGCUCGGCAGGUUAAGGAUCCGGCGUUGCCGUGAGCUGUGGUGUAGGUCACAGACUCGGCUCGGAUCCCACGUUGCUGUGGCUCUGCCUUUGACCCCCCACCCAUUAGCCCCUAUGAUGUAGGCCAGUGGCUACAGCUCCGAUUCGACCCCUAGCCUGGGAACCUCCAUAAGCCAUGGGAGCAGCUCAAGAAAAGGCAAAAAGACAAAAAUAAAUAAAUAAAUAAAUAAAAAACGAGUCUCCUCUGUAAACCCCAGGGCUCUGCCUUGCUGGAGAGAAAUCAGGAUUGCUUGAAUCCAUGUGGUCCUUGGAUAGCAGAUCACUACAAAAUCAAACUCCCUUUGUGUCCUCCCUCAAGGUCCUAAAACUAGCCAAGGACAUUGUGGCAGACGACCGGGUCCAGUUCCAUGUAUUGAAUGCCUUUGACCCCCCACCCAUUAGCCCCUAUGAUGAUCAGGCCUUGGGCUACCAGCUGCUCCGCCAGACCAUACAGUCUGUCUUCCCGGAAGUCAACAUUGUUGUCCCAGGUAAUGACCUCAUCGGCUGUGGCUGGGGGGAGGCGGGGGCUGGAACUGUUUCCUAUCUGGUGUCCACUGCCCCACCCCCACCCCAGCUGUUCAGCCUGGAAACAGCUGGCUGCUUCCUCUCCUAAUGGGACUGGAACUGUAUUUUCCCCUCUGAGUGGAAGUGAGAAAGCAAACAGGAUAAGAGCAGAAACAAUAAAUUAGGUCAGCCAAGCCCGGGUCCUUUUUUGACCUAAACCAGCCACUCUGGCAUGGAGGAGGGGAUGGACCCAGAUGUCUCCUCCUCUGGAGGAGCCACAGAGAGGGGCCAGGUUCCCCCCAAUCUGGUUCUGAUCCAUUCUAGGUAACUGCUCAGCAACAGAGCUCAGACUCUGCAGCCCAGAAACUCCUCCUGGCUGAACCAACUGCAUGGACCCCCUUCACCUCUCCCAGUAGCACGCCCCUAUGCCCCUUCCCCAGUUCACCAGCAUACCUUCCAAAUCUUCACUGUAUAGACAGUGGUCCUCAAUAUUUAAGAGGAGGAGUUCCCGUUGUGGUGCAGUGGAAAUGAGUCCAACUAGGAACCAUGAGGUUGUGGGUUUGAUCCCUGGCCUUGCUCAGUAGGUUAAGGACCCAGCAUUGCUGUGAGCUGUGGUGAAGGAGACAUGGCCGGAUCCCCUGUGGCUGUGGCUGUGGUGUAGGCCAGCAAGUACAGCUCCAAUUCAACCCCUAGUCUGGGAAUCUCCAUAUGCCACGAGUGCGGCCCUAAAAAACAAAAAACAAACAAACAAAAAAUUAGGAGGAAAAGAGGAUUGCCUAAGGAAAUUAAUAAAAUGCGGAUUAUCUGGACCCACUCCCAAAGAUUAAGGUUAACCAGCUCUGGAGAAGACCCUGGAAUCUGCCCUUUUAACAAAUAGCCCGGGUGAAUCUGACACCAAAGGCCGGCUAACCACAGUUUGAGAAUCUCAUGUCUGUGAUAUGAGGAAGAGAUGCUCUAAUGUAAAGACCUGUGCCCAUGCCCCUUUUAGCUAGCUUUAAUCAUGAAUGCCCUCAUUUUCCAAGCUAAGACUUAGGUCCCACCCUUGUGCUAGUCACGGGCCCUUAAAGGGAUUUCUGUGAAAUUCUGCAUCCCCAAACUCCUCGGGUGUGGAAAGAAAAAGAAAAAAAAAAAACAGCCUUGGUUUUUUAAUCAACUUAAAUCUGUACGACUCCUCAGAAAUUCAGCCUCAGGCAUUAUUAUUUUUUUGUCUUUUUAGGGCCACCCCCACAGCAUCUCAAGGUCCCCAGGCUAUGGGUCCAAUCAGAGCCGUAACUACCCACCUAUGAAGAGCCUCAACAAUGUGCAAUCUGAGCCACAUCUGUGACCUACACCACAGCUCACAGCAACACCGAUCCUCAACCCACUGAGCGAGGCCAGGGAUUGAAUCUGCAUCCUCAUGGAUGUUAGUUGGGUUCAUUAACUGCUGAGCCACAAUGAGAAUUCCUCAACCUCAGACAUUAUUGAGGCCUCCAAACAUCACUCCCACCUUCAAUCAGGCCUUCGGGGUCUUAUGCAAUAGUGUAGCAUUAGGAUCCCUUAGCCCAUGGUCAUCAGUCCUUGUGGUUCCCUCUGAGACAUCCGUAAUCCUGGCCACAAGGUCACUUCAGGUUGCAGAUUUCCUCGGAUUCCCUGGCCUGUCUAGACCCAAGAUCCUCCCUAAGCAUAGCUCUCUGAGAUUUGCCACUCCUUGGAUUUCUGCCACAGAGCAGGGCCUGGGUCCUCACCAUCUAGGAAUCCUGGCUUCCACAUUCCGCAUUCUCCUCUCUUGGCCCUCAAAGACCCCCCACCUUACCUUCUCCCUCCAGGGCACCUGCCAUAAUCCCAUUGGCAGAAUUAAGACUUUCAGCAGAAUGAAGAAAGGCAGACAUCAACUGGCAGAAAUCCCCAAAGCAAGAAGUGGUGAAGGGGCUGAGUUCUCAUGUGAAACCAAGAGUGGAAAGUAGAACAAAACACAAAUUACCAUCCCAAGUCAUCCCACACACUUCAACUGAUGCUCCAAGGGGUCUUUUUUUCCAAGAACCCUCCUACUGGAACAAGGCCCAGCCCUUGAUGGGGAGUCGGGUGACGUGCUACCAUCAGGAGAGUCUCCUAGGACUUUCCAAAUGUGAAGUUUGACUCUAAGAAGACAGAGUCCUUUUUCAGAGGACAAGAAUAACAGGAAAAGAGGGUUCCUGUCGUGGCUCAGUGGUUAUCGAACCCGACUAGCAUCCAUGAGGACGCGGGUUCGAUCCCUGGCCUUGCUCACUGGGUUGAGGAUCUGGCAUUGCCAUGAGCUUUGGUGUAGGUCACACACGAGGCUCGGAUCCUGAGUUGCUGUGGCUUUGGUGCAGGCUUAUGGCUACAGCUCCAACUGGACCCCUAGCCUGGGAACCUCCAUAUGCCGCAGGUGUGGCCCUAAAAAGAC